AACGAACGCUGGCGGCAUGCCUAACACAUGCAAGUCGAACGAAGCCUUCGGGCUUAGUGGCGCACGGGUGCGUAACGCGUGGGAAUCUGCCCUUGGGUUCGGAAUAACAGUUAGAAAUGACUGCUAAUACCGGAUGAUGUCUUCGGACCAAAGAUUUAUCGCCCAAGGAGUGAGCCCGCGUAGGAUUAGGUAGUUGGUGGGGUAAUGGCCCACCAAGCCGACGAUCCUUAGCUGGUCUGAGAGGAUGAUCAGCCACACUGGGACUGAGACACGGCCCAGACUCCUACGGGAGGCAGCAGUGGGGAAUAUUGGACAAUGGGCGAAAGCCUGAUCCAGCAAUGCCGCGUGAGUGAUGAAGGCCUUAGGGUUGUAAAGGCUCUUUUACCAGGGAUGAUAAUGACAGUACCUGGAGAAUAAGCUCCGGCUAACUCCGUG
rnacentral:rRNA from 1 species